GGUACGGAUAAAGUAUAAACUACGAAACAAGUGAGGAACAUUGUUCCCAUCAUGCAUCUAUCGUAUUGGUAUAUAAGCUUGUUGGUUAUUCCCCUCUUACGCGUAUUAAUAAUUGGUUUCGUGUGAGAUAGAGUAAGUAGUUUAAUAGACGAAGAGACACAAAACACAAGAUUUUGUCGAAUAUUUUACAUUAAGAAGAUAUAGAUUCUAUAACCAAUGUGUAGCUAAUGCUACAAGAAAAACUACGUAAAAAGAAAAAAACGCUGGAAGUUCUACUUCAUAGGUAGUGUGAAAAUGAAUUCAUGUUUUAAUUUAUAUUAAAAUAAUAUAAUAUAUAAUUGUUCAUUAAUUAUUUUGAAGAAAAUAAUUGACAAAUUUUGUCAUAGAUUUAUAUACUAAUUCUUAUAUGUGUCAAUUAUAUUUAUUAUUUUCUAUCCAUUUAUCAUAAAACAAAUUUUGCUACCACCAAAAAAAAGAUAUACAUAUAAGAGAUUGAAAGUUUUCUUUGUCUAUUAAACUAUUUACUCCAUCUCAUACGAAACUAAUUAUUAAUACGCGUAAAAGGGGAAUAACCAACAAGUUUAUACACUAAUACGAUAAACGUAUGGUGGGAACAAUGUUCCUCAUUUGUAUUCGUAGUUCAUAUUUUGUCCAUACCUGUCGCUGAAGUCACACACACUUUGAAUAAUAGCAUGAACCAACUUAUGACAUGCAAACGAUAUUGCUACUUAAUGAAAUUGCUGAUUAAUAUUAUUUGCACAAACACAGUUACGUACAUGCUCAUAGACGAUAUGCAUCGAAAGAUCGGGUCGAACAUACAAUGUGCUAUUUAAAUAGAAUCGUCGAAUUGUAUUCGAAUUCUCGAACUGAAAGAGAACGCUGAAAUUUCGCUACAAUAGAUCAAUAAUAAGAAUUUAUCGUUAAUCCUAGUAUUCACCUAUUUAAUUUUCGUAAAAAAGUUAUAUUCUUUUUAUAUUCUUUAUUUUGAAUCGAUAGAAUACGAUAUCUAAGGAAUCUAAGGAAUCUAAGAAUAGAGGUUUAUUUAUAUUUGUUUUAUGUUUUUAUAUUAUGUCUAUUUUCAAUUUUUGUUUAUGUAUUUAAAAGUUUCUAUAUCAUUAAUAGAAAUCCAAAGACUUCAUAAAUAAUUAUAGUAUACAUAGUUCAUAAUAAUUUUGUUAUAGAUAAAGAAAAUGUAUAAUCAAAUAAGUUUUAUUUUAUUACAUAAAUUAUCUACAUAUAGUCAUCCUUAAAAAAACAAAAAAAAGGAAACCAAAAAUAUAAACUAUUUUGUGAGAAACACUAUAGAUUAUGGUUUAAAUAUGUAUUCUGUGAUGUAUUAUUAUCUAGUACUAUUUAUAUAAAAGUAAAAUUAUAAUUUAUAACUUUA